CGUACCCAAGCCCCACCUAGCGCCGCGGCCUCGAAUGUCCGCUCGCCUGUUUCUGCCUUUUCUCCCUAUCACGUGCGGCCCUUCCCCACCCGUGCGGGGCGGAGCCGGGAGGGGGCCGGAGGAGGAGCCCUGCAUACAAAAAGCACAGCUCGCCUCAUGGAGUGGGAAGUAAGCCCAGAGCAGGGAGACCGGGCAGCUGGCCUUGAUGAGUCACCAUUCAUUUUCUAGCAGUUCCUGCCCCAAAAAAUGUCACAGUGCCUGAUUUCAAACUAAUGGAGAAGAGAUCUUCCGUAAAUAACCCCAGCAUCAAGCACUGUAUGGUAUAG